rnacentral:rRNA from 1 species
AGCUCCAAUAGCAUAUACCAAUACUGUUGCUGUUAAAACGCUCGUAGUUGGAUCUUACCAGAGCACAUGGUCGGCCUCUCAUGGUUUGUACUGUGUUGCAAUGGAACACUUGCUGGUUUUCUCCUGUUGCUCUUCAUUGAGUGGCAUGGGUGGCUGGCGAAUUUACUUUGAAAAAAUUAGAGUGCUCAAAACAAGCGUUACUGCUCGAAUAGUGGUGCAUGGAAUAAUGGAAUAGGAUCUCGGUUCUAUUUUGUUGGUUUUAAGAGCGGAGAUAAUGAUAAAUAGGAACGGUACGGGGACAUUUCUAUUUUGGCGCUAGAGGUGAAAUUCUUGGAUCGCUGAAAGAGAAACAAUUGCGAAAGCAUUUGUCAAGAAUGUUUUCAUUAAUCAAGAACGAAAG